GAGUUUGAUCAUGGCUCAGAUUGAACGCUGGCGGCAGGCCUAACACAUGCAAGUCGAGCGGAUGACGGGAGCUUGCUCCUUGAUUCAGCGGCGGACGGGUGAGUAAUGCCUAGGAAUCUGCCUGGUAGUGGGGGACAACGUUUCGAAAGGAACGCUAAUACCGCAUACGUCCUACGGGAGAAAGCAGGGGACCUUCGGGCCUUGCGCUAUCAGAUGAGCCUAGGUCGGAUUAGCUAGUUGGUGGGGUAAUGGCUCACCAAGGCGACGAUCCGUAACUGGUCUGAGAGGAUGAUCAGUCACACUGGAACUGAGACACGGUCCAGACUCCUACGGGAGGCAGCAGUGGGGAAUAUUGGACAAUGGGCGAAAGCCUGAUCCAGCCAUGCCGCGUGUGUGAAGAAGGUCUUCGGAUUGUAAAGCACUUUAAGUUGGGAGGAAGGGCAGUAAGUUAAUACCUUGCUGUUUUGACGUUACCGACAGAUAAGCACCGGCUAACGUCUGUGCCAGCA
rnacentral:rRNA from 1 species